GACGAACGCUGGCGGCUUGCCUAAUACAUGCAAGUUGAGCGCUGAAGGUUGGUACUUGUACCAACUGGAUGAGCAGCGAACGGGUGAGUAACGCGUGGGGAAUCUGCCUUUGAGCGGGGGACAACAUUUGGAAACGAAUGCUAAUACCGCAUAAAAACUUUAAACACAAGUUUUAAGUUUGAAAGAUGCAAUUGCAUCACUCAAAGAUGAUCCCGCGUUGUAUUAGCUAGUUGGUGAGGUAAAGACUCACCAAGGCGAUGAUACAUAGCCGACCUGAGAGGGUGAUCGGCCACAUUGGGACUGAGACACGGCCCAAAUUCCUACGGGAGGCAGCAGUAGGGAAUCUUCGGCAAUAGACGAAAGUCUGACCGAGCAACGCCGCGGGAGUGAAGAAGGUUUUCGGAUCGUAAAACUCUGUUGGUAGAGAAGAACGUUGGUGAGAGUGGAAAGCUCAUCAAGUGACGGUAACUACCCAGAAAGGGACGGCUAACUACGUG
rnacentral:rRNA from 1 species